GCAUCAGUGUGGCAUCCUCUGUAAUUCUGU
rnacentral:piRNA from 1 species